ACAUUAGAGUAUGCUUCAUAAUAACAGCAUAAUUACUUUGAUUGUGGAUUCUUCUUUUAAAUAGAAAGGAUAACAUUUGUUCUUGACCGUUGGCCUAUUGGGUUUUAUUUGCGCAUUAGUGAAAUUUUUUGUAAAUUACUGUUUAAAAUAUUUUGCUUUUUAACUUGAACAUAUCCCCAUAUUUUGAAAUCACACAUUUUUCAAAUAGAGCUUAUACAAUCAAAUGCCAAGCAUCUCCAUUUUGACAUUGAUCUAAAAAUCAGUUUCAGUAGAUAUUAUAAACCAGAGUUCUCAAGAUUGCAUAGCAAGCCAAUAGAACAAUGGAAAUACUUUCAAGGAAGAGGAUUAUGACUUCAUAAUUAUUAUUGUUUAUGAAGAAAACUAUUUGUCUAUCUGCCUAGAGGAUGUAAUAACUUAUUCAAGAAGGGUAACGAAUUGCUGACAUAAUUUUGCUUAUUGUUUCUUCUCGAUGAGCUUAAAAAUUGCAUUAGGGUGAAUAACAUGCAAUUCUUAAUUAUAGGUCUGCAGAGGAACAGAAUGCGAAGAGCAUCUCAUGAUAUUCACAAACAGAUUAUUACUAAUCACUAAAGUACAGCAGUGUGUUGACAGUGAAUACAGAUCUAGUGACAUGCUACUGACUGUGGUUUCCAACUGAACAUCUUGGGAGGAUUUGGUUGUUUGGACCUCACCAGCUGAUACAAUGAAGGGUUGCUUGCUCACUCCCCAGAGGACGGAAACAACAGAACAUGAGACCAACAAACAACAACAGUAGUUAGUAUAAUCAUUAAGAGAAAAUACUGAACAAGCCUAUGCAUAUGCAACCCUAUAUGUUGGAGGGAGUGUAAAUUAGCUCAGCCACUGUGGAAAGCAGGUUUUAAGGAAGAAUAGUGCUGGCAUGUGCUUCUGGUGAGGACUCAGGAAGAUGACAAUCAUGUUGGAAGGCAAUUGGGAUCCACAAUGUCACAUGGAGAGCACAGCAGCAAGAAAGAGAGGGAGGAAAUGCCACACUUUUUAAAAUAACCAGAUCUCAGGUGAACUAACUUUGUUUCCUUGUCACUGUAGCCAGUGUCAAAAUUAAGAAGUUGCUUUGCUUGUUCAACCCAUCUCUUCCAGUGGGUGCAUGAGCCUCAUUUAGGCUGAGAGAAAGAAAAACUCAUUCACCCCCUAAAAUGCAACCAGUGAUUAGGAAUUUGGAGGGAAAGUGCCUGCAUGACUGCUACUACUCCUUAUUUCUUUUGCUCUUAAUCAAAAGGUCUCUAUAGACAGGUAGGCAAAUAGGAUUUCUAGCAAUGUCCCAUGGUAGGAAGUCCUUCUAUACUGAAAAUUUUAGAAAUCUCACAGGAAGCUUUAUAGUAAGAAAUCAUAGAGAAUUGAGUAAUAAUCUUUAAGUUCCAAAUUUAAUGGGGUUUCCUUUAGGGAAAACAAACUUUUAUUCACACAUGUUAGAAGUCAUUUAUGCAUAAAAUAUCUCUGAUAUGAUAUAUAAGACACUGGUAAAGCUGAUUGCCUUGGGGAGAUGGUUAGGCAUGUGAAGGGAACAUAUAAUUGAAAACAUUCCCCGCCACUAAAAUAUUUUUAAUAUACAUAUAUAUAUAUAAUUUAUAUUAUAUAU